rnacentral:rRNA from 1 species
CAGUAGCCGCGGGAAAACAGAGGGUGCAAGCGUUAAUCGGAUUUACUGGGCGUAAAGGGCGCGUAGGUGGUUAUGUAAGUGAGAUGUGAAAUCCCCGGGCUCAACCUGGGAACUGCAUCUUAUACUGCGUAGCUGGAGUGCAGUAGAGGGUAGUGGAAUUUCCGGUGUAGCGGUGAAAUGCGUAGGUAUCGGAAGGAACACCAGUGGCGAAGGCGGCUACCUGGACUGACACUGACACUGAGGCGCGAAAGCGUGGGGAGCAAACAGGAUUAGAUACCCCAGUAGUCCCUGUCUCUUAUAC